GGGAGACCAACUGUCAGAAACACCAAAGCCGCUUCAGCCGAGAUCCAGAGUCAGGUUUGGUGCCGUCCAGCGUUUGAGGAUGAGGAUGCCACUUUCUGCAGGACAAUGGAUCUGUCUGCUCACCUUCGCUGGAGUGACGCUUAUCACCGCCUCAAUAGGUAAAUACAGAACAUAUUGAUAAGUCAGUAGACAGCCUGAGGGAGUUAUGAAAUGCAUAUACUAGGACCACUUUUAAAACUGGCUGUUGGUUGAUUUGUUUUUGUUAUAAUGCAAGAAGUAAAAAACAAUUUAUUUGACCUUGAUUAAUCCAAGUUUGAAAAGCCUCCCCCCCUUUUAACUACGAAGACGACAUGAUAAAUUAAAGCAUGAAUCAAAAAUAUCUAUCUUAAUAUUCAUACCUAGUAGCUUAAGCGUUUGGUAUAAAAUGAGUGGCUCUCUGAAAUGCACCAACCUGAAGACAUGGAAGAAGAGAGCGGUUAUUGUGAGCAAAAGAUUUGUCCUAAUAGGCGUUUUUUUUUUUACGGUGAAAACUCGGCAGACUGAGGUUUAAUCUGAGCAUGCAUCACUAAAGUGUCCUCUCCUUGAGCUUGGUGGUGCAUGAUAGAUUCUGUCUCAAAGAAGCAGCGAUCUUGUUUAAAACUUAAAAAUGAAUUUGCAACAAUCACCUUUGAGGGAGAAUUUUGUGGGAAGAGCAAAACAUGUGUUUAUCUCUUUUUAAAUGUUUUAGAUGUUAUAAUGGCAGUGCCUAACUCAUUGUAUGGAUGUGUGUGUGUACGUGUGUUGGUGCGUUACAGCAGAUGUAGGAAUACCCUGCUGUUAUGAGGCUGCCCCUUAUACACCUGAUGAGAUCGUACUGUGCUUCCAACAGACACCCACGAAGCAGUGCAGAUCAAAUAACUAUGUGUAAGUACAACACGCUUACUCGUGUGUUUGCCAGAAAUACAGAUGACAAACGAGCCUCUGUGACACAGCUGACUGUUUUUGGUUUUUGAGACCAUCAACUCUUUGACCCUUUCAUUUUGUUUCUAGGGUCAAAGUUAAGAGUGGCGCAUGGCAGUGCAUCUUAUGUGACUCAAAGUGGAUAAAACAACAAAUAAAUAAGGUAAGACUCAGUCGAUCAGCUUUUUUUGUUGGAAGAGGAGUUUCUCUGUCAGGUUAAACUAAAGAGAGAGAUAAUGUUAAUAUCCUCUUUGAAAACCCAUUUUUACAAAAGUGUGCUUUUAUAACUUAACUUUCAAUUAAGUCUCAACUCAUUUUAUUAUGAAUUAAAUUUAUUUUAUUUCAUUUUAUCUUAUUAUGAUCAUCAUAAUUCAAUUUUAACUUAUUUUCAAGAAAACCUAACACAGUUGGGGUUUCAUCUUUCAUCAUCUUUCAUUCUUUUAUUGAAUUCUAAAUCAUAUCUGUUGACUGGCUGUUAAGUAAAUUAAAUUGAAGUCCUCUGCUGUUUUGAAAAGUGCGAUAUACAUAAAGUUACUAAUAUGCUAACACACUGAAAAAGGAAUAAAACAGAUUUCUUUUUGCUGUCUUUCUCCUGCUUCUCUCCACAGGGGAAAAUCAGCUGUUCUGAAACAAAAAAAUUUGAAUUCUGUGAGGAGUAAAAACAGGAUGGAGCUCCUGAGAACUCCUCUGCCGAUGAAACCCUCACAGCUUUUGGUGCUUUUCUGUUAAAUUUCUUUUGCAUUGCAGAUUACACAAUGCAGCGUUAUUUACAGUAAGAUGGAUGAGAACAGUAUUUUGGUUUUUGCACUGACAAUCUUUCCAUUGGUACAGGCUGAACAUGUGAUAAUGAUGACAAAUUACUUGGUUAUAAAACUUUAGUGUGGUUAGUUUAGUCCUUUUUUUGUGUUUUUUACUUGACAUGCAAAUCUAAAAUUUGGUAUUACAUUGUUCCAAUCAUGAUAACAAUAGACGUGUGAUAAUGAAGCACAAAUUACGGAGCGCAAAUCAUCUUUGUCUUAAUCAUCUGCUGUUGCCAAUUAUUUUCACAACCUGUGUUUGCAACAUGUUUUUCUGAAAUAAAAAAAUAAAACUCCA